CAUGGGGAUGAAUUGGAGAGCUUAAGGAAGGGACUGCAGUGUAGGAACCAGAAUCCUAAUUUAUUUACUCGACUGUUGAUAUCAUCACUUUUAUUUUUAAUCCUUUAGUUUUUUGGGACAUACAAUAUAUAUCACUUACUUUUAUAAUAGUUUUCAGGGCUUAGAGAAUGUUAAGACAUUUGCAGAUCUAUAGGAUAAAGUUAGGAAAGCCUCAAAACUAAGAGUUUAUUAAUGCUGAAUUAUUGUAUGUUCCUCCUCUUGCAUUAAUAAAUAGCAUCUAUAGUUUUUUCCUUCCACAAUCUUCAAAGUGCUAGGCAUAUAGAAAACACACAAAGCCCAAUAAAUAUUGUUGAAUUAAUGUAUAUUUCUUAAGGGAAAAGAUUAUAUUUUUUCUCUUUCAAUGAUUCUCCCUGACUCCUGCUAGGAAUGUUUUGCACACAGGGGCAGCCAGUAACUAUAAAGUAUCAAAAAUGUUUAUAUUUGAAUAUUACUAUGUAAGUAUUCCUUGGGGGAGCUGUUUUCACAAAUUCCAUCAUUUAUCUGUUCAUUCAGUAAUGGUUGUGUUCACCAGACAUUGUGCUAAUGUGAGAUGAUUAGUCUAAUGAUGAUUUUAACAAGUGGCUAACUCUUACUCUUCCACUCACAGCUCACACGUUGCUUUCCUUUUUGGCCUUCUAGACUGGGUUAGGUGCUUUUCCUUCAUAGCCUCUCUCUAAUUGUAUAGUGGUUGUCCUGUAGCCCUCAAUAGAUGGAGCUUCACAGGGGCAGAAGUGAAUCAUUCUCUGAUGUCCCAUUUACUUAUGUCCCAAAUCUUGUUUAUACAUGUGACUGGGUGAGAGUUUGUUGACUGUUUGUGGAACAAAUAUAAUCUUUAAUGACUGUAUUAUCAGAUAUCUGGCUUUGAAUGGAUAGUUUGGCUUUUAAAGGUGGUGUUCAGAUCAAGAAAUAAAAUACCAGAAUGAUAACAGUUUGGAGACAAAAGAUGAGCUAACAAGAAAGAACAAAUGAAAAGUUAUAAAAAUGCAAUAUAAAAUAUAAUAUGAAACGUGUAUUACCAUUAACAAGCAAUCAUAUUGUGUGUGUUCUUGUGUUUUUUUAUUGUGGCAAACUUUUACUGUGCAUCUAGUGUUUUUAUCGAGACUUUACAGGCAACCCUUCCAUACACACUGAGUGUGAGAACAGCAAGGGAGCAGCUGGGACCUUAGAUAUCAUUCAGUCCAGAUACUACUGGUCAACUAAAGACAUAAAACCAGAUUUGGGAGUGCACAAAGGCAGGCACAUUUCUGUGAUGCAGUCUUAUCUAUACCGCAGUGGGCAGAGGGGCCCCCUCUAACCCUGUCACCCCCAGUCUUUCCAACACACCAUCAUACUUUUCCAGUGACCCCCUCCCCCGCCCCAUGUACAGUUCAAGAAACAGCUGUGGGAUCUCAGUGAAUGGUGGGUGUUCCCCCUCUUCAUAACAGUGCUUCCCUGUGAACAUCCACAUGCUUAGGAGGAGGGGGAGAUGCCACAGUUCAGGUCUCCCCACAGUCUGCAAGGGUGACCCUUGGCAUAUUAAUGAUAAUAAUGAUAGUGGCUACCAUUCAUUGAGGAAUUGUGCUAGACUGAUUACGUAGGUUAAAUCAAGUUCUCACACAAACUGCAAGUUCAUAACCUUUACUCCCUUUUUACAGAUAAGGGGAAUGGGUGUUGGGGGAAGACUGUUUAUCAUGUUCAUGUCAUGGAGCCAAUAGUGGCAAAGCCAAGAUUCCUAUCAGGCUUCUCCAAGUGUGUUUUUCCCAGAUACCAUGUCACCUUUUAUAAAGUAAAGGGGAUACAUUUAUAUUUGUCAGGUAAAAUGUAUCAAGAAGAAUAAAGCAUAAUGCUUUCUAUAGAGUUUAUAUAUCUACCUAUUAUUAGAUACAUGACUAUGUGAGUAAGUAUAUGAUUCUUAAAGAGAAAAAAAUAACUCACCUUUUACAACAUAGUUUAAAUUUAUUACAAUAAGUUAGACUUUCAUGAAAAUAUGAAGCAGAAAAGCUAAAUUCAGGAACUUUUUAUUUUAAAUUCUUUAGUUACUAUUGCAUUAGUAGAGCAUACAUUUUUCUUGGGGGAGAACUUUGGUUGUAUGAUAAGGUAAACAACUUUUCUUAGUAAAGUGUACAUGGAAGAAAUUAUGGAAGUUGUGUAAUAUACCAAAUAUUUUCCUUUAAACCAGCAUAAAUGGCUAUCACUUCAUUAUUUUCAUAUUGAGUUAUUUUUUUAUAAAUUUAAAAAGACUAAUUAAAAUAUAAUUAUUAAUGAAGGCAUGGUGUUAUUCAGAGUUUAAGUUAAUAAAGAACUGUUUACUUAAAUACCUAACCUAAAUAAUACAAAAAAAUAUGGUUUUGAUGCUCUCAGAACCAAAUAAGUAACAAUUAUUAUCUUUAGGCUGGAAAUGGACACUGAUCAGUUUAAAAGUAUUUUUCAAAAUUUGGCAAUGUUGUUUGUAACAAAUGCAAUGAAAUAUACUAUAAUAUCCGUAUUUAUUUGAUGUUUAGUUUUUAGGCCCCCUCCCAAACUCCUUAAGAAUAAAUAGAAUAUAUUUAAACGAUAAAUGUAGUUAUUUACUUUAUAUGGAGACAUGUGCCAUUAUACAGUUGGAGGCUAGAGACAGCACAUGUGUUUUGGAUUGGGUGACAGCACUGAUGUCAUUCUGUCCUCAGAACCUAUUUGGCAGAGAACUUAAAAGAAUUGCAGAACAAGAAGGAAGUCUAGUAUUUUAGCAUAAACGGAUUUUUGUCUCUCAAGAAAAUUUGAUGAAGUGUAUUAUUUUCCCAGAAGCUCCUUAGGCCCCCCUUGUGCCUGUCUUAAAUUUCUCCAUACCUCUAGCUAGUGCUUUGCAUGUUAGUUAAGUAUGAAUUGACUUGAGUUAAAUUUAGCUUGGUUGGAUCAGGCUACCCUCAACUGGCUUCCAAAGGCAUGGAGACAGAGCAUUCCUUUUCCCUAACUAGUGUGUGGAGCUACCUAUUCUAUACAGCUCUUGGAAAUUUUCUCAGAUAGUCACAAUGAGUGGAAAAUGGCUAGACAUUAAAACAGAUCAUUACAAACUUAAUAAGCCAACCUUGUCAUAUUUCUUUCCCUUCAUUCUGGAUUGGAGGAUCAGCUGUUAUGCCUAAAUAUAAACUUUGAGCUACACUACUCUUUAAUGUAUGUCUUUAAUGUGGUAUUUGUCUUUAAUAUAAACUUUGAGCUAUACUACUCUUUAAUGCUUGUCUUUAAUGUGGUGUUUUUACAUAUGGAUGAAGGUACACUCAUUUUACUGGGUUGACUUCUUGAAGCUGAGCUGACCUAAGUGGUUAUAAAAGUUCUGCAUAUAUAGAUGUUAGCAGAUAUUGUUACAUGUGCAAAUCCUGAAUAGAAGCGAGAUGUAAUUUCCACUUCGAACAUACAAGUAGCAAAUUUUAGGAGUAGGAGUUUUCUUUUUAGCUUGUGGUGAGAAUAACACCAUGUCCUUUGUUUUCAGGUAGCAGGAGGAAGAAGUGACUGACAGAGCCUGACUCCUACCAUGGAUAAGAUGAGUGUUCCAGUAUCAUCAGAUUGGAGAAACUGACCCAUUAGGCCUUACAAGCUUGGUCUGUAAUGAUCCUAACACUCCCUCCUGCUGCAUUCAUUUUGGUUAUCUCAGGACAAAUAGCUUACCCACAUUCCCCCUUGCAGGGUUUUCAGUAUUCUUUGAUAUGUUCCUCCUGUGGAACUGCAGACACCUUAUCAGGCAGAAGAGUUUGGUCGUUGUACUUCCAUUUUAUACAUGAGAAGACUGAACACAACAUCAUAGCCAAAGUUAUUUUGUUACUUUGUGUAGGCAGUACCUUUUACUUCAUAGACACUCAUACAAUACUUUUAAAUUUCUCUAUCUAUUGUAAAUCAAGGUUAUUUUGAAACACAGAAGUGCUGAGGUCUGUUCCCAGUACCAUUUGUGAGUAAAAAUGCAACUCCUCAUUUUAUGAAUAAUCUUAAAAAAAGAUAUAUUAAAUGCUUAACUAUGCAUGUUGCUGCACUGCGCUCAGUCUGUACUUUUCUAGAAUCAAGACAUUCAGUAAGUUGUUCUACUGUUUCUGACUUUAUAACAAAUUAUAAUUUAAUGUUGAUUUGAAGGUACAGAAGCAAUCAGACAAAUCCAGAUUUCUAGAAAAAUGAUUAGUUUUGAUUAAAAUGAAAAAGGAUUUGGAUUCCAACAUGUAUAGGGGUGCUAUGGAUACCUAUAGCUGGGGGAAAAUAAAUGCAAACAAAAUUGAAUACAUUAUUAUUCACUGUUUAACUGAAUAGAACUUAUUAGCUUAAAACCUGGUUUUGUAAGGGCUCUCUCAUGUUUUUAAUGUGCUAAUUUCAAAGAUAUUAUUACUAAGUGCUUGUGAUAAUAGUGUUUGAAUCGAUCUGACAGUGCUCUCUAACUAUUUGAAUAUCAUCCUUUAUGAAUGUACACAUAUACCAUAUACUGUUUACUUCUUAUUUACUUAUUCUUAAAGCUCAUCUACACAAAACCCACAUGAAAAUACAGGUAUUUAUGUGAAUGUUUAAUCUAUAUUGUAGUAAACAGGGGUAUGUUUCAGAACAUCUGGAUGAUUGUUGUUAUGCUUGCUGAAUGAAGCCCAAUGUGGAAAGUUGAAUAUAUAAAUACAGAGGAUGUAGUUCAAAACCACCUAACUCAAGCAAUAAUGUCCCUACUCUUCAGCUAUAGCAAUACAUAAAGGUUAUAUUUAUGUACACUUUAAGGGUUGAUAAGGAAAUGAUUAAAUCCAACAUAAUAACCCUGAUAGAGAGGUAUAAUUAAAUAGAAUAUCCAGUUUUCACCAUCUGUAUGCAUAAAUUUAUGAGGAAUAGAUUUCAACUUAAUAGAAGGAAAAACCUUCAGAGGAAAAUAACUGGGAAGUUUGAUUGGAUGGUCUCAAGAGGCAACAGAUUUCUCAAGAGGCAUCAGUGGAGAUGACCAAACAGAUGUUAUAGUGGGGGUUCCUAGUUACCUGGGGGUUCCCCAUGGUUCCCUGCUAAUAGACGAUAUUCACUUGAAGAGAAGAAUCUCAGAAUAUUAUGUCUGGAAAGAGCUUCAGAAAUCAUCUGGUUCUGCCUGUUCACUUUUCAGAGGAGGAAACUAAGCCCCAGGGAACCCAAAUGUGUCAUCCAACGUCAAAUAGCUAAUAUGUUUCAGGGAGAUUUUUGACAGGGGUCUAUUCUUUUGAUUUUAUUUAGAGCCAAAUGAUUGGGGACUGUUUUCUCCAAGAAAUGUUUGCUUGUGUAGAGUAGAGAAAACUGACAUCUACUGAACACAGAAAGGCUUUUAUCUCAGGGUAAUGAUCUGACAGGUGUAACUCACAAAGAACUGGUUUUGUACAUGAAUAAUUAAGAUAAGUCAUUUUAAACUUCUCUUCCUUUUUAUAAAUGCAUGUACUUCUGUGGCAGUGGGAAUGUGUCAUAGGCUUUAUAAUGUAAGGAUUUCUAAGAAAGAGCAGAAGGGAAGGUCAGGAUUAGGUUGCAAAUGGGAGAUAAGUACUAAGAGUUCUAAAUUCAUUUCCCUUCGUUAUCAACCAUUCCUUGUGGGAUAUGAGGUAAGAUAAGGAAGGCAGAACUAGUUUAAAAGCACUAGAAGAGCCCGUCAGGCUGAUAAAAACAAAGUAUUCCCAAAACAAAAUAUUCCCUUGCUGACUGCUGACUGAUCAUUAGCCACAGCUUGGAGCCUUCUGGGUGCCCUACCCCCCACAGCACACUCACCACCCCGGCUGCUCCACUGCUUCCACAUACACACAGACUUCCUGACAUUGAAGCAGCUGAAGAGUUAACAUCUUCUCUUUGUUGACUGGAUACUGAAAAUUAAUUUCUAGCCACAAUGAUGUGACUUUUCAACAAACUUAUUUCAGGUUAGCAAAGGCGAUCUCCAGGAUAUGUUGUUUCGGUGAGUCAGUGAGUCCAGUUAUUUGGUAAUGACUGUAAAGUCGAGGGAAAAAUAUUUCUUCACUUAUGAAGGCCUUUUGUUAAGUCUUUAAAGCAUCUCAUGUAUUCAAAAAUAUUUGCAGAACAUUCUUUAGAUGACUUCGUGACCAGGUUGUACAGAUAAUGGAGGCAUUUUUUGUUUUGUUUUGUUUUUUAAUUUUCUGGUUGGUGGAAAGGAUAAAAGAUUUUUCUCUUAGGACCUUGGCUCUUACAUAUAUGAGGCACUGAAAUAAUAAAACAACUAUCAUCUGUGAGUGCUUACUGUAUGCCAAGCGCUGUGCUGUGUCCUUUAGACAUAUCAUCUCAUUUAAUUCUUGUAAUAACUGUGAGAUAUGCUUUGAUUAUCCCUUUUACAGCUUAGGAGACUAGAGAUUCAGAGCAGUGAAGUUACUUAAAUAAAUAACAUUAUCAGCUCAUAAGCGGUAAAACAAGGAUACAAACCUCAGUCUAUUUAGUGCCACUGGGGGUUGUAAGGAAUCAGAAGCUGGACUCCAGCCCUGUCUCUCAAGAACAUCUGGGCCUGGGCUCCUUCACAGGCUAUAGCUUAACUUAGGCCCUUUCUAAGCCCUGGUGCAGGAUGUAGGCCAGUUCCCAGGAUCAUCAGUCUUGUUCCAGAGACUCCAGGGCUAAAGUAUAGUUCAACAGCCAUGGAGCUAGACAAUACCUGUCUAGAAACAUCAGAGCUGGACAAUACCUGUAUGAUGUGGGGAAGCCUCUACAACUGAGACUAUUUUGUUAAUAGCCAGAUAUCUUGCUGACAGCAGAAUAUCUUGUUAAUGCCUUCAUUUGUUAAUAGCUGGUCCUACCUCACCUCUUUGUGAGCCCUUUUCUGUUCCCACCCUUUCAUCAUUCGUUUUUGUCUCAUCUCUCUUCUCCUACUUCCCAGUGUAAUUCUAAAUCACCUUUCUUGAUCACCAUAGGAACAUACAUUACAACAUAAAAAACACUAAAUUAUGGAGGGGUUUGAAAAUUAACUUCAAGUGUAGGAGCAAAUUCCAUUUUUCUUCUUUCUUGCUCCCCAGGAUUA